rnacentral:rRNA from 1 species
UAUACAUGCAAGUCGAGCGAACAGAUGAAGUGCUUGCACUUCUGACGUUAGCGGCGAACGGGUGAGUAACACGUAAGGAAUCUACCUAUAAGCGGGGGAUAACAUUCGGAAACGGGUGCUAAUACCGCAUAAUAUCUUCUUCCGCAUGGAAGAAGAUUGAAAGACGGCUCUGCUGUCACUUAUAGAUGACCUUGCGGUGCAUUAGUUAGUUGGUGGGGUAACGGCCUACCAAGACGAUGAUGCAUAGCCGACCUGAGAGGGUGAUCGGCCACAUUGGGACUGAGACACGGCCCAAACUCCUACGGGAGGCAGCAGUAGGGAAUCUUCCGCAAUGGGCGAAAGCCUGACGGAGCAAUGCCGCGUGAGUGAAGAAGGCCUUCGGGUCGUAAAACUCUGUUAUAAGAGAAGAACAAAUUGUAGAGUAACUGCUACAGUCUUGACGGUAUCUUAUCAGAAAGCCACGGCUAACUACGUGCCAGCAGCCGCGGUAAUACGUAGGUGGCAAGCGUUGUCCGGAUUUAUUGGGCGUAAAGGGAGCGCAGGUGGUUUCUUAAGUCUGAUGUGAAAGCCCACGGCUUAACCGUGGAGGGUCAUUGGAAACUGGGAAACUUGAGUACAGAAGAGGAAUGUGGAACUCCAUGUGUAGCGGUGGAAUGCGUAGAUAUAUGGAAGAACACCAGUGGCGAAGGCGACAUUCUGGUCUGUUACUGACACUGAGGCUCGAAAGCGUGGGGAGCAAACAGGAUUAGAUACCCUGGUAGUCCACGCCGUAAACGAUGAGUGCUAGGUGUUGGA